rnacentral:rRNA from 1 species
UACGAAGGGGGCAAGCGUUGUUCGGAAUUACUGGGCGUAAAGGGCGCGUAGGCGGUCUUGCAAGUCAGAUGUGAAAGCCCCGGGCUCAACCUGGGAACUGCAUUUGAAACUGCAAGGCUUGAGUAUGGGAGAGGUAAGCGGAAUUCCGAGUGUAGAGGUGAAAUUCGUAGAUAUUCGGAAGAACAUCAAUGGCGAAGGCAGCUUACUGGACCAUAACUGACGCUGAGGCGCGAAAGCGUGGGGAGCAAACAGG